rnacentral:lncRNA from 1 species
UGAUAUAUUAAUUCGACCAUUCUCUUACUUCUUCCCACUAAAAUUCUCUCUCCACACGAAAAAAUCCACAACCAUGCCUUCUCUACGAGAUAUGCCAGAACCCAUUCUAUCUGAUAUUCUUUCCCUUGUUGCUUCCAGAUCCUACAAAGGUUAUUUUAACGUCUUCCUGACAUACAUGACAACGCUUGCGGCUGGGAGAAAUGAACCAAUCAUUCUCGAGAGAUGCACUCUGUUAGAUGGAUUUGAUCCGUGGGAGGCCGAACAAGAAAGUCUCUUGACUUUUUUCGGUCGAUGUCUCGAACAUGGUAAAACAGAUGCUAGGUUUUCCAGUGCCCUUACCCAUCUGGCCCUUGAAGAUGUCAACAAUGGACUUAUACUUUUCAAGGCCACCCUUGAACAUGCAUGCCUUUAUGGAUAGAGGGAAGCAAAAUAUAAUCUUGGUAUGUUUUGAAUCUUCAACCAUGGGGAAGUUUCACCGGACUAAACCUUUAUUUGAAAGGUUUGAGGCAUGCUGACUUUGUUGAGAGGUGCAGGCGCGUAUUCCCCAAGGUUCAUAACUAUCGAGUAAGGUGGAUGACCUCGAAUGAAGUUAGGCGACCAUAUUCGGGUUAGAUUCGAUUCCUUUUGGUGUACCACGACGCUUUGAACCGCUAUGUUCAUGUACAAAGCAGUUUUCAGGUACCUACAUGGAGACAUUUACAAACUAUGGGUGGAAUUAUGCUAGGCAGGCAUUGUGUUCUUCAAGUAUCCUCAAAUUUCCAUGUUUGUGAUGUUUGUUUCUAGGCAUUGGAGGCCCAAGCCUUGCAUGAUCAGUGUUAUAUGGAUAUAUUAGAUUAGACACUAUUUUGAUCUUUGUUCGGCUUAAGUCUUUUAUGUUUUUUUCUAGUUUUCCCACUUUUUGUUCUAAAACUCACUUCCGGCUACGGCCCUAAUGUAUUUUUUAAGCUACUUUUGAUUUGUUUCUAUUUUUAUCUUUAUUAAUUUCAAUAAGUUGUGACUCUAUUACAAUGAGUUAUUUCAACAAGUUAUGACUUCAUUA